rnacentral:rRNA from 1 species
UACGAAGGGGGCUAGCGUUGCUCGGAAUCACUGGGCGUAAAGGGUGCGUAGGCGGGUUUCUAAGUCAGAGGUGAAAGCCUGGAGCUCAACUCCAGAACUGCCUUUGAUACUGGAAGUCUUGAGUAUGGCAGAGGUGAGUGGAACUGCGAGUGUAGAGGUGAAAUUCGUAGAUAUUCGCAAGAACACCAGUGGCGAAGGCGGCUCACUGGGCCAUUUACUGACGCUGAGGCACGAAAAGCGUUGGGGGGAGCAAACAGGG